ensembl:miRNA MIR651 microRNA 651
AGAUCUACAGAAAGCUAUCACUGCUUUUUAGGAUAAGCUUGACUUUUGUUCAGAUAGAAAUGCAAAAGGUAAGUAUAUCCUAAAAGGCAAUGACAGUUGAAUGUGUUUCU